CCGAUAGUGAACCAGUACCGUGAGGGAAAGGCGAAAAGAACCCCGGCGAGGGGAGUGAAAAAGAACCUGAAACCGUGUACGUACAAGCAGUGGGAGCACGCUUAGGCGUGUGACUGCGUACCUUUUGUAUAAUGGGUCAGCGACUUAUAUUCUGUAGCAAGGUUAACCGAAUAGGGGAGCCGAAGGGAAACCGAGUCUUAACUGGGCGUUAAGUUGCAGGGUAUAGACCCGAAACCCGGUGAUCUAGCCAUGGGCAGGUUGAAGGUUGGGUAACACUAACUGGAGGACCGAACCGACUAAUGUUGAAAAAUUAGCGGAUGACUUGUGGCUGGGGGUGAAAGGCCAAUCAAACCGGGAGAUAGCUGGUUCUCCCCGAAAGCUAUUUAGGUAGCGCCUCGUGAAUUCAUCUCCGGGGGUAGAGCACUGUUUCGGCAAGGGGGUCAUCCCGACUUACCAACCCGAUGCAAACUGCGAAUACCGGAGAAUGUUAUCACGGGAGACACACGGCGGGUGCUAACGUCCGUCGUGAAGAGGGAAACAACCCAGACCGCCAGCUAAGGUCCCAAAGUCAUGGUUAAGUGGGAAACGAUGUGGGAAGGCCCAGACAGCCAGGAUGUUGGCUUAGAAGCAGCCAUCAUUUAAAGAAAGCGUAAUAGCUCACUGGUCGAGUCGGCCUGCGCGGAAGAUGUAACGGGGCUAAACCAUGCACCGAAGCUGCGGCAGCGACGCUGAUGCGUUGUUGGGUAGGGGAGCGUUCUGUAAGCCUGCGAAGGUGUGCUGUGAGGCAUGCUGGAGGUAUCAGAAGUGCGAAUGCUGACAUAAGUAACGAUAAAGCGGGUGAAAAGCCCGCUCGCCGGAAGACCAAGGGUUCCUGUCCAACGUUAAUCGGGGCAGGGUGAGUCGACCCCUAAGGCGAGGCCGAAAGGCGUAGUCGAUGGGAAACAGGUUAAUAUUCCUGUACUUGGUGUUACUGCGAAGGGGGGACGGAGAAGGCUAUGUUGGCCGGGCGACGGUUGUCCCGGUUUAAGCGUGUAGGCUGGUUUUCCAGGCAAAUCCGGAAAAUCAAGGCUGAGGCGUGAUGACGAGGCACUGCGGUGCUGAAGCAACAAAUGCCCUGCUUCCAGGAAAAGCCUCUAAGCAUCAGGUAACAUCAAAUCGUACCCCAAACCGACACAGGUGGUCAGGUAGAGAAUACCAAGGCGCUUGAGAGAACUCGGGUGAAGGAACUAGGCAAAAUGGUGCCGUAACUUCGGGAGAAGGCACGCUGAUAUGUAGGUGAAGUCCCUCGCGGAUGGAGCUGAAAUCAGUCGAAGAUACCAGCUGGCUGCAACUGUUUAUUAAAAACACAGCACUGUGCAAACACGAAAGUGGACGUAUACGGUGUGACGCCUGCCCGGUGCCGGAAGGUUAAUUGAUGGGGUUAGCGCAAGCGAAGCUCUUGAUCGAAGCCCCGGUAAACGGCGGCCGUAACUAUAACGGUCCUAAGGUAGCGAAAUUCCUUGUCGGGUAAGUUCCGACCUGCACGAAUGGCGUAAUGAUGGCCAGGCUGUCUCCACCCGAGACUCAGUGAAAUUGAACUCGCUGUGAAGAUGCAGUGUACCCGCGGCAAGACGGAAAGACCCCGUGAACCUUUACUAUAGCUUGACACUGAACAUUGAGCCUUGAUGUGUAGGAUAGGUGGGAGGCUUUGAAGUGUGGACGCCAGUCUGCAUGGAGCCGACCUUGAAAUACCACCCUUUAAUGUUUGAUGUUCUAACGUUGACCCGUAAUCCGGGUUGCGGACAGUGUCUGGUGGGUAGUUUGACUGGGGCGGUCUCCUCCUAAAGAGUAACGGAGGAGCACGAAGGUUGGCUAAUCCUGGUCGGACAUCAGGAGGUUAGUGCAAUGGCAUAAGCCAGCUUGACUGCGAGCGUGACGGCGCGAGCAGGUGCGAAAGCAGGUCAUAGUGAUCCGGUGGUUCUGAAUGGAAGGGCCAUCGCUCAACGGAUAAAAGGUACUCCGGGGAUAACAGGCUGAUACCGCCCAAGAGUUCAUAUCGACGGCGGUGUUUGGCACCUCGAUGUCGGCUCAUCACAUCCUGGGGCUGAAGUAGGUCCCAAGGGUAUGGCUGUUCGCCAUUUAAAGUGGUACGCGAGCUGGGUUUAGAACGUCGUGAGACAGUUCGGUCCCUAUCUGCCGUGGGCGCUGGAGAACUGAGGGGGGCUGCUCCUAGUACGAGAGGACCGGAGUGGACGCAUCACUGGUGUUCGGGUUGUCAUGCCAAUGGCACUGCCCGGUAGCUAAAUGCGGAAGAGAUAAGUGCUGAAAGCAUCUAAGCACGAAACUUGCC
rnacentral:rRNA from 1 species